UACAGAGGGUGCGAACGUUGUUCGGAAUUACUGGGCUUGAAGCGCGCGUAGGCGGCCCCGCAAGUGCGGUGUGAAAUCCCACGGCUUACCCGUGGAACCGCGCCGUGAACUACGGGGCUAGAGGAUGGUAGAGGAGGGCGGAACUCUUGGUGGAGCGGUGAAAUGCGUAGAGAUCAAGAGGAACACCGGUGGCGAAGGCGGCCCUCUGGUCCAUUACUGACGCUGAGGCGCGAAAGCUAGGGGAGCAAACGGGAUUAGAUACCCGUGUAGUCC
rnacentral:rRNA from 1 species